rnacentral:rRNA from 1 species
GUGGAAGCGUCUGGAAAGUCGCGCAGCAAAGGGUGAUAGCCCCGUACACUAAAAUGCACAGGUCGUGAGUUCGAUGAGUAGGGCGGGACACGUGACAUCCUGUCUGAAUAUGGGGGGACCAUCCUCCAAGGCUAAAUACUCCUGACUGACCGAUAGUGAACCAGUACCGUGAGGGAAAGGCGAAAAGAACCCCGGCGAGGGGAGUGAAAUAGAACCUGAAACCGUGUACGUACAAGCAGUGGGAGCACCUUCGUGGUGUGACUGCGUACCUUUUGUAUAAUGGGUCAGCGACUUAUAUUUUGUAGCAAGGUUAACCGUAUAGGGGAGCCGUAGGGAAACCGAGUCUUAACUGGGCGAAUAGUUGCAAGGUAUAGACCCGAAACCCGGUGAUCUAGCCAUGGGCAGGUUGAAGGUUGGGUAACACUAACUGGAGGACCGAACCGACUAAUGUUGAAAAAUUAGCGGAUGACUUGUGGCUGGGGGUGAAAGGCCAAUCAAACCGGGAGAUAGCUGGUUCUCCCCGAAAGCUAUUUAGGUAGCGCCUCGUGAACUCAUCUUCGGGGGUAGAGCACUGUUUCGGCUAGGGGGCCAUCCCGGCUUACCAAACCGAUGCAAACUCCGAAUACCGAAGAAUGUUAUCACGGGAGACACACGGCGGGUGCUAACGUCCGUCGUGAAGAGGGAAACAACCCAGACCGCCAGCUAAGGUCCCAAAGUCAUGGUUAAGU